UACCCGCCUGCCACUGCAUGCGGGCCCUUCUUCUGAAUGGUCCACGCUGUCAGUUGGUUGGGUGGUUUUUGUGUGGGUUGGAUAGACAAUCCAGCGAGACGACAGGCCGCGCAGCCAAUCCUGCGAGAGGAGAGCCCAGCCAAUCCCCACGUUGCUGCCCUCCCGUGCCCAGCCCUCCAAUCCCCUCCCAUCCCCGUUCCUCUCCUCCGCAAGCCGCCGCCGCUUAGCCGCCGCUUGCGCCGCCGCCGCUCAGCCUCCGCUGGCGCCGCCUCCUCCUUCGCAUCAGCGCAGUGGCGCUCCACGUCCUCCUCCUCCUACGCCCAAUUUCUCCUCUUCCCGCAUCCUCUCGACCUGGAGGACCACACGGGGAAGAUGACGAACAGGGCAGGGGCCGCCUCUCCCGUCUCCUCCCAUCGCGCCGCCCGCUUUCUCCCCCAGUCCGCUCCCAUGGUUCGUCCCCAAUCCCUUUUUCCCUCUUCCCCCAGAUCCCUCCCGUUCCGUCGCUGCUCGUGCUCGCUCGACCUCUUUUCCCUCACCUCCCAAGCCCCUCCCUCCUCCCAGGUCGCCUCCUUGGUGCCACCCAACAUCUUGCCCUCUUCCCCCUCCAUCUCACCUGCUUGUCCAUGCCGGCGGGAUGCACAUGGACGGCCGCGGCAACACCACGCGAGAAGAGGCAGGACUGCCAUGACAGUGGCAGUCUGCUCGACCCUUUCCCGGCUCAUCUCCUUCAUGGAAGGCGGCCGUCACAGCUUGAGCUAGGCUGCAGCAUCCAUACCACACUGCCCUCCUCCACCCCUUCUUCCAUGUUCCUCUCUCUCUUUGUGUGUCCUCUGAUGUAGGGAAAUCUAUGUAUGUAACAUGUUUGAUGAUAUGUGUAGAAGACAUGUAACUGUUUAUUUGGGGGUUAUGUUGCAGGUUAUCAACGGUGAAACGGGGUUGGUGACGAGGAGGGCGCACAAAGACGGAGUACUCGUUGGAUGUGUGCUCGGGGAAUCAAGCCUACUACCUCACUGACUCCUUUGAUUUGUUCUUGUAAUGGUUGUAUAUGAUGUUCACAGAAAGGGAACUAUUGAAGCAGCUCGGAGCUGAAAUUGAAUGGAUAUCAAGUUCUGGAUCCUAGAAAGCAAUGUGACCCGGGCAUUUUUUGUUGGACUGGUUAUAUCUACUUUGUGCUACUAUUGGAAUCUUCUGAUUAUUUUGAGUGAAGGUGUUCAUAAAAGUAUAUACCACUGAUUGGCAAAAACACGGUCAACAAAAUCAACAGCUGACCAGUCGAUGAAGGAGAUGGAAGGAAAAGAGGGAACUGCUGGCAGUAUAGAAGUACACGGCUCUGAGUUGCCAAACGGAAAUAGCCCUACUGAUUGUGCUUCUGACAUUGUCAGCUAGAUGAGCUUUGCUGUAUUUAUUGAAGAGAUGAACUUGUGGUCAAAUGAGCCAGUGAUCCCCUAAACUGACUAGAACAGCCCUACUUCUUGGCAGAUCGUGGAUAGCUUGAUGAAAAUUUGUAGCAAUGGCUUUGAUCUGGUACUUCCGUGCACCCUCUAUUUAUAUGGUUGUUCCAGUUUUCUUCUCUGCUGUGCACGGAGUAUAUGGUUGCGCUGCUGUUUGGUAUUGAGGUUCUUUCUUCGCGUUGUGCUUGCCGAGUCUCUCAGAUAGCUAUAUGAGUUACACCUGCUAUGGUCUUAUUAUCAAUACAGGAUAACUAAAGAAACCUGGCAAUUUGUGGCAUGUCUGCUACUUCUGAUUAAUUAGGACUAUGAGUUGACAUGUGAGACGUUGGCAUUGACAUCAGUGAUAUGAACUUUCUUCUCAGGGUCUAUUUUCGCUGCACCAAACUAGAUGGACGAAGCUAGAUGGUCCAGAUUAUCCUUCAGCUCUGUGCCAGGGCCUUGUGCUUAAGCUUAUUGUGAUAGCAUCAACCCUGCCUUAUAAUGAUGUUUUUUAUCAUAGUGACGUUGGAAAUGUAGGCUUACCUGUGGCUUAUUUUGGUCUUCUUAACAAAGCUUAAGACAUCCUUUUCCAUGAGGAGGUGGUGCGAAUUUCACGGGGCCGUGUGCCAAAUCGUGUUUAAGCUAUGGAUGUCGGUGAGAUUCCAUCCAGGGUUAUGAUCAAGGCGGCGUUCACCGUCUGAAGUUUCCAAAGCCAUUCACAACACCAUACCCACCAAGGGCGAAUAGAGAAGUGCCGGUGACAUUCUCUCCGACAACAUGUCAUAAACAUCAUUCCGAUGGAGAAGUCCGACUAUACAACCAACAACCUUUGACAUGUCGUACUAAUGACAGUUUACAUAGUGUUUUUAGCUAUCGAAUAGUUUUUUUCCAUUUGAUGUUUUAUUACCUUCGAUAUCUAUAGAUGCUUAAUAUAGUACUUUACAAACUAUUUACCGGAGCCGCGAGCCAUGGCAAGCCCCAAAAUAUUGCUCUACUUCCUCUUUUCUUGAUUGAUUUCAUCCUA